CUGGGGGUAGAUCCUAGCAAUCGUGCUUUAACAAACCCUCCAGGUGUCUGAUGUGGUCAAAAGUUUGAAAACCACUGAUUUAAGGUAAUUGUGAUAAUCUUAUUCCCCUUUCCAAUAAUUGGAUUAAACAUGGACAUAUGACCCAAUCUUGGCCUAGAGGACCUGAGAAGUCAGCUGAGUGGGAGUGGAGUGGUGCCCUGAUUUUCUUUGCUAAUUCAGAGAGGUACGUAGUGUAAUUGUCUUUUUCUUUGCAGGAUGCUGCUUGUUGCAGUUGUGACACCUGGAACUUUCUUGCCACCUUGCAACUAUGAGGAAGACAUUUUCCAAGAAAGGAGUAGCGGAAAGACUCUGAAUGCUCCAAGAAGAUGCCAAACACUUGGAUGGAAAGAUAUUCAAUUGUUCAUAUGUGUUGAAUGAUGUGGAUGUUUAACUUCUGAAAAUGAAGCGUAUGUAGAGUGAAGCAAUGUUUUCACAUCUCAGCUAUGCAUUGGUAUUAAAUGGAAACACCAUUAAGCAAAACCAGGAAGAUGUGAAAAACAGAUCACCAAAGAGUAAAGCUUGACAUGGAAAUCACUGGCAAACUGUUCUGCCCAUAGAGCAAUUCACACAUUCAUUUUUUCAAUCAUUCAAAAUGAAUUGAAAAUCUACCAUGUGCAGGACAUUGCAGUAGGUGUGGCUGGGUAGUUAUGAUUCCUGUGUAAAUAUGACUUCAUAGACCGAAAGACAGCCUUUGUCUUCCAGGAAUAUACAUUUAGGCGUGAGCAGCUGAAAUAAUAAAAUGGAAAGAUACCA